rnacentral:lncRNA from 1 species
GAAACAGUAGUGGUAUGAUUCCACCAGGUGAGAAGGCCACAAAAACGUGCCUAUACCAGUGUCGGUUAUAUUAAGGUUUUUAUUCCUUAGCCGAAGCUUGAACAAACAACUUGACUUGCCCAAUCAAAGGAGUUUGCAAGCUGAGGCAAAAAUGGCCGAUAGUUUGGUGUUCUAUUGAAGACAAGAUUCUUUCUUGCCAUCCAAAUAAACCAGAAAAGAAAGGGGUAAAUAAGGGAAAGGGCGGGUUUUCCUAGGGGGGAGGGCGGGGGCCCCUGUUUUAUUUAUUCCAGAAGAAGCAGCGCCUUGUUUGUGCAUUGAUUAUCGGGCGCUCAACAAGGUAACCUAACCAUCAAGAACAAGUGUCCACUUUGAUUGCGGACUUCUUCGCCCAGCGCGAGAUACUUCUCGAAGUAGGAUCUACGGUUGGGCUACUACCAAAUGCGUAUCGCGGAAGGUUCUGAAAGAAAGCUUUCUUGACCAGCGUGAAAUCUCAACUGAAAUAAAGCCACUUGUUGUACUCCAUAUAGGGAUUCAUCCAUGUUACAACGGUUUUAAAGUCACUUCUCUUCGUCUAUCCUUGACCUUUUGGUUCUCAGACCCGUAGUAUAAUGGAUCAAAUAUCCGCAUGUAAGGAAGAUUCUUCCGCUUUUGUUAACUGGGUGGUUCGGACUAUCUUCUUGUAUCAAUUUAUGUACCGUCUUCUUGCUCAAGAUAGAAUAGCUAGUAAAUGAGAUAAGUUAGCAUUCAGUAUUAUUAAUAAGGGUAGGGAAGGGAUAGAGGGAUCCCGCUCGUGUAGGUGGGUAGGAUAUUUCCAUUUUAGCGUAGGAUAUGGGAGUAGUCUAUUUCCGGAUGUUUUGNGUUGGAAGCACCUGUUCGCAAUGUAGAAGUCAAGGAAGGUGCACAUCCAUCAGACUCAGGAGGUAAGUAUGAAAAGGCUGCAGUGCCCGAUCUCGCAUCGGUCGAAUCGUGAAGAGGAAGACAGGGUUGGGCUGGAAGGCGGGUAAGGCUCUUCUUCCUCUUUGGCUUUUUCCAACCGGCAAAGAAUUUCUUUAUUAUUAGCUUAGAAAGAAGGGCCCGCUAGCUAGGUUGAUUAUAUUAAAA